UCUGAAUCUGCGAACGGCUCCGCAAACCAGUUGUAAACUAUAGCAAGCUCUCCUAUGGUCGCCCCUUCACGGGGGGGGUCUGGGAAAUAGGGAUAACCCUGGUAAUUCUGAGGCUAAUACCACCACGUAAAACCUGGCUGACUGGGCAACCGGAAGGCUGGGGGGCGUGCAAUUUUUUCGCGAGGUUUACCGGGAAGGGACGCACGUCUGGACCGCGCAAAACGGAUGACUGGGCCUUCGGGACUGGGCUUCUAGCGGCUCUUGCUGUGUGCUUCUGACCUAUCAACUAGAUGGCAGCGUAAGGGACAUGCUAUGGU
rnacentral:rRNA from 1 species